GGCGGCCCGCCGCCCCGCGACAGCGCCCCGCAGAGGCGGGGAGGGCUAUUUCAGCUGCGCGCUGCUUCCAGCGCGGAGGGCGCCGUGGGUUUCACGCUCCUUCAUGGUUGGAGUUUUGUGUGGGAUGCAGUUAGCUGGGAAAGGUGGCUAGCUAAAUUUUCAGCUGUGAAGUUUUGGGACGGAUUGUCUUAGAAAGAGAAGCAUUUAACUUCAUCAAGGAUUUUUAACUAAAGGAAGUGUCAUCCAACCGUGACCCAUCUGGGGAAAUCUAGGUUUAAGGCCAAACCGCUAUGCACUCAUCGUCCCUGGCGAUUCCUGAGGACUGGCCGAUGCUCUGUGGUGAGGCUCCACCGGAGUCACUAUAAACGCAGACACCUGCAUUUCCAUCUGCUGCUGCAGAUCAGAAUUCCCAGCAGGGCCCAAGUCAGGAGGAGAUGUCGGAGGGACAGGACUGAGAAAGAAAGCCUUUGAAGUGAAAGGAAUAAUACGCGAGGCAUCCCUUUUUGUUUGCUGCCUUGGUGGGACACCUGCGGUCAUGGACAAACACGCCUGCAGUUCCACUGCGACCAGGGAGAAGCCCCAUCAUAAACGCCGUCUCUGGACGUCCUGGAGUGCAGCGUGUGGCUCACCCUGCAGCGCCUCGCUUAAGGAGGCCGGUACUUUUUACCUCUGCGGCUAAACGCCAUUGCGCAGUUUAGGGUCUAGGGCAUUUUGUGAGCACAGCUAACACAGUGAAACAGGCAGAAGGCGGGAGUGGGCGCCACCUCCCUACUAACUGCAAAGCCCUGGCAGACGGGGCCAGGCCACCACCAGGGCUGCACACCGCUGGGAGUCUUCCUGCACGCUGGGAGGGAGUGUUGUAUCCACCACCCUCUCAGCUAAGGCAUUUGUGAGAGCUAACAACUGUCUGUGCUUCAAAUAUGUGAAGCUCAGGUGGAGGGUGUGGGUGUGAUGAGGGUGAGAAGAUGCCUGUGGCUCCGUGGUGUCCUCACUCACAGACACCGAAUCUACCAGCACGGCUUUCCACGGAGGCAGCAGCCACUGGUGUGGAGAACCACAGCACCGCGCCCCUCUGCUCAGCCUCCCCUCCAGCAACCUCUCCCUGUGGUCCCUGACUCCGUUUCUGGGGAGAAACGGAUUCUUCCACGCAUACGGCUCACUCUUCCACUUAGACUUUGAAGGGAGAAAAUUAGCUCUGAUGCGUUAUUUGCACCCUACAGCACAGCAUGAAAUGAGUGUGGCUGGGGAUGGACGCACACAUGCCCAAAGCGGAAGCCCUUUCCUUCCCUCGCAGAAGUACAGUUCUCCUUACAGGGCCUCAUGGGUAUUCUGACUUUAUACCGUGGGUGGGCAGGUUAGCAGGAAGGAAGCUGGACUGGGCGGACUCACAGAGGAUUCAAAGAACGGGACUGCUAAAAGUUACUAGAAAUGAAUUGUUCAAAGAAAAGUAUCUGGCCUUGGAGGAACAUUUCUGAAGAGUGUGCACUAACAGAAGGUCGUGGCAAUGCUGAAAUAGAAGAGCAGGGCAGAUCAACUGAUGUAACGCAAACGUCAAGGCAAAAUAUAGAACUGCGUUGCUCAACCUGCCAUCCUGGGAGAAGCGGAGCCUUUUCUAUCUUGCUAUUGCAGAAGCAAGGUUCGCGUUACUGGCGAACACUUUCCCUAGGCAUAAAUCUCCCUUUAUGGAACUCUAUCACCUGAAUAAUUGCGCUGAAGUACCUGAGGGAAAGCCCUGCGACAGGGAAGAAGAGUUACUGUACAUUUAGGAACACUUUACCAUUUUCCGAAGAGGUUAAUUACCAUUUCUUAUAUGACUGGGGAUAGGUGCUUAAUUACUGCACAAAUGAAAUGGAAGGUAAAUUUGAGUUAAUUGGGAUAUAAAAUUCAUUUUACUUUAUGUGUGUGUAAGAGAUUUAAGGCUACACUUUAGGUAGCGCUAGCUUUCCAUUCACUUCUGAAGGAAACACAUGUGUGCCACUUCUGUCUUUUUCAUCAUCUGGGGGAUGCUCUACUUGUAUGUAGAACCGUUUAUCAGAUGUCAACCCGCCUAGUGCCCUAGGGCCUUUAGGAGGUUACAGGAUGGGUCUGUCAUUAUGGGCUUUGCUGCUAAUGAUGAAAAAACAUUUAAGCUAAAAGGUCACAAAUAAUGUCUUGUUGAAAUCUGACAAUUGAGUGUAAUUAGUAAAAUGAAAGGGUGCAUUCUUGAUUUGUGUUGAGAGAACCAGAAGCAUGGUAAGUAAUUUAAAAUAAUUAAAAUCCAGAGACCUCCAGAAUGAGCACUUCUGGGUUUUCUGUGGUGGCUCUUGGCAAAGGCCAGCACACACAGGAUUCUCUGGUCCCUGUGUCACCCUGGCUUCCUGGAUGCCAAACUGUCCACAGCCCAGAUUGGAAUUCAUAAUCCAGCGCUGGGCCGUCCCCAGAGUCAACCAGCCUUAGUGACUCAUGAUUCACUCUUAGGCUAUUUCAUUAAGAAUCAGCAACACACCUUGCUCUCCGAGUUUACCUUGCCAGUGAUGUCAGCGUGUCAAAUCAAAUCUCACUGGACUGGUUUGGGCAGAGUGCCUUUUAAUUUACACUAUGUUAGUGGACAGUUUUAUCAAUGUCACUAAGAUCCUUAAGCUUACAUAAUUUUUCAUUUUUUAGUUGGACUCACCUAUCAUAUAUCUACUACCUAUCAAAUGGCUUCUAUUUCUAUGCAAGACGACAGAGAAUUUUAUUAUACUUACAAAUACUAAUAAAAUGUAUAUGUGAUGACCUUUUAGUAUCUCUGUUAACAGAACUACUGUCCUUUAUAAAAUCAUGGGUUUGCAAGGCCACAGUCUCUGUGAAUUCAAGAACUGCACACAUUUUUGUACAAUAAUUGCCAAUCCUCUCACAGAGCUUUAUGUAGAGUGACCUUCUGAUUUUCACAAUAACUCCAUGGCAUAGGUCCUAUUAAAAGUCUUU